GCCUCAGUAGCUCAGUUGGAUAGAGCAACGCCCUUCUAAGGCGGCGGUCAGGGGUUCGAAUCCCUUCAUUGGUU
rnacentral:tRNA from 1 species